rnacentral:rRNA from 1 species
UACGAAGGGGGCUAGCGUUGUUCGGAUUUACUGGGCGUAAAGCGCACGUAGGCGGAUCGUUAAGUCAGGGGUGAAAUCCUGGAGCUCAACUCCAGAACUGCCUUUGAUACUGAAGAUCUUGAGUUCGGGAGAGGUGAGUGGAACUGCGAGUGUAGAGGUGAAAUUCGUAGAUAUUCGCAAGAACACCAGUGGCGAAGGCGGCUCACUGGCC